rnacentral:rRNA from 1 species
GAUGAACGCUGGCGGCGUGCCUAAUACAUGCAAGUCGAGCGAACGGACGAGAAUCUUGCUUUUGUGAUAUUAUCGGCGGACAGGGGAGUAACACGUGGAUAACCUACCCAUAAGACUGGGAUAAAUUCGGGAAACCGGAGCUAAUACAGGGUAAUAUUUUGAACACCAUGGUUCAAAAGUGAAAGAGGGGCUUGCUGUAACUUAUAGAUAUAUCCGCGCUGCAUUAGCUAGUUGGUAAGGUAAAGGCUUACCAAGGCAACGAUGCAUAGCCGACCUGAGAGGGUGAUCGGCCACACUGGAACUGAGACACGGUCCAGACUCCUACGGGAGGCAGCAGUAGGGAAUCUUCCGCAAUGGGCGAAAGCCUGACGGAGCAACGCCGCGUGAGUGAUGAAGGUCUUCGGAUCGUAAAACUCUGUUAUUAGGGAAGAACAUAUGUGUAAGUACCUGUGCACAUCUUGACGGUACCUAAUCAGAAAGCCACGGCUAACUACGUG